UUUCAAUUUAAUGAAUUUUGUCCAAUUUUUGAUAAAAUUUGCAUUCGGGCAAGAUGUCCAAUUGCUACAUAGAUUAUGAUAAAUUGUGACUGGUGAUAUUUAAUAAAAAACUGGUGAAAACGAAUUAAACCAGUACGUUUAUCCCAUCCAUGGACAUCAAAUACAAAAGUUUUCAUUUGUGUAAACUUUGCAACGUCCUUCAAUGUAUUUUUUCCUCUCCAAAUUCGGAAGGAAACCGUGCCCUUCUCCCAAAUACCACUUCGUGAGAAUUCAUGCCGGUGCACUCGGGAACGGAAGUAUUAAAGGAAAAAAUGGCAAACGGAAGCCAUUGGUCCCAGCUACUUUGCUCACUGUAAUUUCGUUCGAGAGUCUAAUUAUGGAAUUGUCCAGUAAUUCCCUACCCAGGGGUGUAGUAAGUACCCCAUCACAUGAAACGAAAUUCAGUUUAUUGUCAUCCCUCAUCCAUACUUUAUCUCGACUCAACUGAAAUAAUGGUAUGGCGGGUGCCCAUAGGACGCAACCCCCUUCCGUACUCUGCAUAGAAGAGUCAACUAAAAACUCAACAGCCGUACUCUCACAAACGGCAUCAUCACUCUGGAUAGAAGGUGCCCAUAGGACGCAACCUCCUUCCGUAUUCUCGUGGUCUAUCAAAAGCUCUGCGGGUACGGUCUCAUCUUCCGCGUGGCCAGCUGGUCCACCAAAUACCCCCUCUGGAAGGCAAGUGCCUAUAGGACGCAACCUCCUUCCCGGGGACCGUGCCAUCUCCAUCGAGGACACCUCCCCCAGGGACCGGACACCACAAUAAGCGGUUCCUUCCCGACUCGGAAUGGAAGAGCCGACGCCAAAACUGGCCAUCUCUCUCCCCCUUCCUUCAGCCUCUCUCUCAGUCAAGCGCUUUCUUCCGGAGGUGCCAAAGCCCCGUGCCCUCAUCGCACUUCCGUAACCAGGGAGAAGAGGGGAGGUCUGUGCGCUCACCUCACUGCCACCCGCACCCGGAGUUUCCUCAUGGCCAUUGAGUAACACAGAAACAGGUGUAAUGGAGCGAGCUGAAUUGCACCCCUCCGAAACCUGCGCAUCAUUUCCUGUCUCGUCUUCACCCUGGCGGGACCCGCAUCAACCGGAGCUAGGCUGGGGUAUAGAGCUUACCACCUGACAAUCACUCAACCUUGGAACUUCAUGUCCCCCUGAGACCAAACUGUCUCCAACUUCCUCAACAAAUGCUUCAUUCACUUCUAUUUCACCUUCAAAACAACAAAUAGCAACAAAAACUCUUUCUAUAGGAUAUUCGUGGUAGAUGACUUUGCUUCUGGAGAAGCAGCCAAUAUUCGACCUACAGCCCUUUGCAGCAUCGUCAUGACCAUACACACCAUCAAUAUUCUCUUUACUCUUUUUCUCAUUAAAAUUUACUGAAUUUCGUGAAAGCGUAUCCGCAUUGGCAUUAACAAGACCUGGCUUGUAUACUAUUUUGCAUUCAUAUCCUUGUCAUUUUACUUUCCAACGAGAUAAACGGGAUCCCAUCGUAGGGUCCUUUAACUUGUCUAACCAUACUAAUGCUUUAUGAUCUGGAACCAACGUAAAUUUAGUACCAUAGAUAGAUGGUCGAAAAUGUUUAACAGCAAACGUAAUAGCUAACAGUUCCUUCUCUGUUGUUGUAUAAUUUAUUUCUGCUUUAUUCAUAGUUCGCAACGCAUACGCAAUAGGUAAAUCUUUACCAAUUUCACCUUGACUUAAUAUGGCUCCUAUAGCAAAAUCAGAUGCAUCUGUAGUAAUUAUGAAUGGCUUGUCGAAUUUCGGGUACUGCAAUAGCGGUUGCGCACAGAGAAUAUUUUUCAAUUUAUUAAAAGCGCUUUCGACACAAUCAGACCAGAAAAAUGGCACAUCCUUUUUUAAUAGCAAAGUCAAUGGUUUAGCAAUCGUAGCAAAAUUUGGUAUAAAUCGCCGGUAGUACCCUGCUAAGCCCAAAAACUAUUUAACAUUUUUACGACCCUUAGGACGAGGGAAGUUGCUCACGGCCUCGAUUUUUUUUGGAUCAGGUUUAACCCCAUCUUCAGAAAUUAUGUGACCCAAAUAUCAAAUUUCUUUGCAUAAAAACCUACAUUUAUCGGGUUGCAAAAUAAGUCCAGCAGUCUUUAAACGUCCUAAUAAUUUUUUUAAUUUUUCGUUGUAUUCUUGUACAGAUUUAUCGUAAAUGACAAUAUCGUCCAUAUAUACAGAGAGUUCAAUCCCUUGCAACCCUGAUAAAACAAUAUCCAUUAACCGUUGAAACGUGGCGGGUGCUGAUUUUAGACCAAAAGGCAUCCUAUUAAAUUCGAGAUGGUCAAAAAGGUUCGGAAAAGCUGUCUUAUGUUGGUCCGCCGGAUCGAUUUCGAUCUGGUGAAACCCAGACGCGAGAUCGAUUACGGUGCAAUAUCGAGAGCCACCCAACUGAUCCAAUAUAGAUGUAAUAUUAGGGAGAGGGUAAGCAGCCCCGACAGUCCUUUCGUUAAGAGCGCGAUAGUCUAUGACCAUUUGCCACCUUUUGUUACCCUUAAAGUCCACCUUUUUCGGUACUACCCAAACGGAAGAGUUAUAAGGUGAGCUAGAAGACGAUACUGCAUUUUGUUCUUUUAAUUUACUUGUUUCUUGUGCUAUUACUUCUUUAUGUACUACGGGAUACCUAUAGUUUGGUUUAUUUACGGGUGUGUCAUCUACGGUUCUAAUUUUAUGUUUCAAAGCAUUCGUACAACCUAAUUUGUCUCCUUCCAAAAAGAAUUGAUAAGGAAAUUAUCUUAAACUUUUCAAAAGACUUUCUUUUUCCUAUUUGUUCAAAUUGGAUAAAUGAAAUUCUGGUGGUAAUUUUUUAAAUCGUUCAGCGGGAGUAGUGUUGCGUUUUUUAUUAGUAAUGCAUUUUUUAACGUUUUUACUAGUGUCUUUAGUAUUGUUUUCGUUAGAAUUUGGGUUGGCUUCGUUACCGUCUUCACUAUUUUCUUCAUUCAAGUUUUUGUUAAUGUCUUUACUCGCAGAUUUAGAAAUUGAUUCAACAGUCUCGAAUAUUACCCUCUUUUACGGUUGCUAAAGAUUUUCUCAAAAAUAUGCCUGUUUGGUAUUAAGGGCAUAUAUCCUUCUGUCAAAUCGGCAUUAGUUACUGGUAAAGUUACUCAUUGUUUGGUACGAGCUUUUAAAAUAAGUGUAGUGCCCCUCUUGGGUGAAGUUGCAAUUGACGAACUGGAACGUUAGGAAAGGCAUUCCUAACAUUCCGUCGCACCUUACGGGAAAAUUAUUUGGUACUAUUUGGAAAGGACAAUCAACCUCAUUAAUAUUUAUGUACACUUCUCCAGAGGUCUUUACCUCUUGACUGGUAAUUCCAAAUAAAUGAUAUCUGACAUCAAAA